rnacentral:rRNA from 1 species
GACGAAUGCUGGCUGCGUGCUUAACACAUGCAAGUCGAACGGUGAACGAGGGAGCUUGCUCCCUCCGGAUCAGUGGCGAACGGGUGAGUAACACGUGAGCAAUCUGCCCUGGACUCUGGGAUAAGCGUUGGAAACGACGUCUAAUACCGGAUACGAGACGCGAAGGCAUCUUCAGCGUCUGGAAAGAACUUCGGUCCAGGAUGAGCUCGCGGCCUAUCAGGUAGUUGGUGAGGUAACGGCUCACCAAGCCUACGACGGGUAGCCGGCCUGAGAGGGUAACCGGCCACACUGGGACUGAGACACGGCCCAGACUCCUACGGGAGGCAGCAGUGGGGAAUAUUGCACAAUGGGCGCAAGCCUGAUGCAGCAACGCCGCGUGAGGGACGACGGCCUUCGGGUUGUAAACCUCUUUUAGCAGGGAAGAAGCGAAAGUGACGGUACCUGCAGAAAAAGCACCGGCUAACUACGUGCCAGCCGCCGCCGUAAGAC